rnacentral:rRNA from 1 species
UACGUAGGGUGCAAGCGUUGUCCGGAAUUAUUGGGCGUAAAGAGCUCGUAGGCGGUCUGUCGCGUCUGCUGUGAAAACUCGGGGCUUAACCCCGGGCCUGCAGUGGGUACGGGGCAGACUAGAGUGCGGUAGGGGUGACUGGAAUUCCUGGUGUAGCGGUGGAAUGCGCAGAUAUCAGGAGGAACACCGAUGGCGAAGGCAGGUCACUGGGCCGCAACUGACGCUGAUGCGCGACAGCGUGGGGGAGCAAACAGG